CCUACGGGAGGCAGCAGUAGGGAAUUUUCGGCAAUGGGGGGAACCCUGACCGAGCAACGCCGCGUGAACGAAGAAGUUAUUCGUAAUGUAAAGUUCUUUUAACAGGGAAGCAAGAGAAAUUUGACGGUACCUGAAGAAUAAGCUCCGGCUAACUACGUGCCAGCAGCCGCGGUACUACGUAGGGAGCGAGCGUUAUCCGGAAUUAUUGGGCGUAAAGGGUGCGUAGAUGGCAUAGUAAGUCUUUUGUAAAAAUGCUGGGCUCAACCCAGUAGGGCAAAAGAUACUGCAAUGCUAGAGUAUGACAGAGGCAAGUGGAACUACAGGUGUAGCGGUAAAAUGCGUAAAUAUAUGUAAGAACACCAGUGGCGAAGGCGGCUUGCUGGGUCGAUACUGACAUUGAAGCACGAAAGCGUGGGGAGCGAACAGGAUUAGAUACCCCUGUAGUC
rnacentral:rRNA from 1 species